GACGAACGCUGGCGGCGUGCUUAACACAUGCAAGUCGAACGGAAAGGCCCUGCUUUUGUGGGGUGCUCGAGUGGCGAACGGGUGAGUAACACGUGAGUAACCUGCCCUUGACUUUGGGAUAACUUUAGGAAACUGGGGCUAAUACCGGAUAGGAGCUCCUGCUGCAUGGUGGGGGUUGGAAAGUUUCGGCGGUUGGGGAUGGACUCGCGGCUUAUCAGCUUGUUGGUGGGGUAGUGGCUUACCAAGGCUUUGACGGGUAGCCGGCCUGAGAGGGUGACCGGCCACAUUGGGACUGAGAUACGGCCCAGACUCCUACGGGAGGCAGCAGUGGGGAAUAUUGCACAAUGGGCGGAAGCCUGAUGCAGCAGCGCCGCGUGCGGGAUGACGGCCUUCGGGUUGUAAACCGCUUUCGCCUGUGACGAAGCGUGAGUGACGGUAAUGGGUAAAGAAGCACCGGCUAACUACGUG
rnacentral:rRNA from 1 species